UCGUACAACUUGGUGACUCUGAAUAACUUUACGCUGAUCGCACGGUCUCGCACCGGCGACGCAUCUUUCAAAUGUCUGCCUUAUCAACUGUCGAUGGUAGGUUCUGCGCCUACCAUGGUUGUAACGGGUAACGGGGAAUCAGGGUUCGAUUCCGGAGAGGGAGCCUGAGAAACGGCUACCACAUCCAAGGAAGGCAGCAGGCGCGCAAAUUACCCACUCCCGGCACGGGGAGGUAGUGACGAAAAAUAACGAUACGGGACUCAUCCGAGGCCCCGUAAUCGGAAUGAGUACACUCUAAACCCUUUAACGAGGAUCAAUUGGAGGGCAAGUCUGGUGCCAGCAGCCGCGGUAAUUCCAGCUCCAAUAGCGUAUAUUAAAGUUGUUGCGGUUAAAAAGCUCGUAGUCGAAUCUGUGUCCCGCGCCGCCGGUUCAUCGUCCGCGGUGUGUCAACUGGCGUGCCGCGACAUGUCCUGCCGGUGGGCUUAGCUCGCAAGCGCGGCCCAACUCAAUCCCACCGCGGUGCUCUUCACUGAGUGUCGAGGUGGGCCGGCACGUUUACUUUGAACAAAUUAGAGUGCUUAAAGCAGGCUAAAACUUCGCCUGAAUACUGUGUGCAUGGAAUAAUGGAAUAGGACCUCGGUUCUAUUUUGUUGGUUUUCGGAACCCCGAGGUAAUGAUUAAUAGGAACGGAUGGGGGCAUUCGUAUUGCGACGUUAGAGGUGAAAUUCUUGGAUCGUCGCAAGACGGACAGAAGCGAAAGCAUUUGCCAAAAA
rnacentral:rRNA from 1 species